UGCAGUCGAGCGGACAGAUGGGAGCUUGCUCCCUGAUGUUAGCGGCGGACGGGUGAGUAACACGUGGGUAACCUGCCUGUAAGACUGGGAUAACUCCGGGAAACCGGGGCUAAUACCGGAUGGUUGUCUGAACCGCAUGGUUCAGACAUAAAAGGUGGCUUCGGCUACCACUUACAGAUGGACCCGCGGCGCAUUAGCUAGUUGGUGAGGUAACGGCUCACCAAGGCGACGAUGCGUAGCCGACCUGAGAGGGUGAUCGGCCACACUGGGACUGAGACACGGCCCAGACUCCUACGGGAGGCAGCAGUAGGGAAUCUUCCGCAAUGGACGAAAGUCUGACGGAGCAACGCCGCGUGAGUGAUGAAGGUUUUCGGAUCGUAAAGCUCUGUUGUUAGGGAAGAACAAGUGCCGUUCAAAUAGGGCGGCACCUUGACGGUACCUAACCAGAAAGCCACGGCUAACUACGUGCCAGCAGCCGCGGUAAUACGUAGGUGGCAAGCGUUGUCCGGAAUUAUUGGGCGUAAAGGGCUCGCAGGCGGUUUCUUAAGUCUGAUGUGAAAGCCCCCGGCUCAACCGGGGAGGGUCAUUGGAAACUGGGGAACUUGAGUGCAGAAGAGGAGAGUGGAAUUCCACGUGUAGCGGUGAAAUGCGUAGAGAUGUGGAGGAACACCAGUGGCGAAGGCGACUCUCUGGUCUGUAACUGACGCUGAGGAGCGAAAGCGUGGGGAGCGAACAGGAUUAGAUACCCUGGUAGUCCACGCCGUAAACGAUGAGUGCUAAGUGUUAGGGGGUUUCCGCCCCUUAGUGCUGCAGCUAACGCAUUAAGCACUCCGCCUGGGGAGUACGGUCGCAAGACUGAAACUCAAAGGAAUUGACGGGGGCCCGCACAAGCGGUGGAGCAUGUGGUUUAAUUCGAAGCAACGCGAAGAACCUUACCAGGUCUUGACAUCCUCUGACAAUCCUAGAGAUAGGACGUCCCCUUCGGGGGCAGAGUGACAG
rnacentral:rRNA from 1 species